rnacentral:lncRNA from 1 species
UUCUUUUUAGGUUAAGCUAGUAAAAUUGUUUUCAGUUUAAUUUUAUCCAUCAUGUCUCUGUGUCCACAAAGUUAAAGGGAAUCCUUAUUAGCCUGCUGUUUCAUUUGCUGGAAUUGAAAAUUCCAGGCCUGCUUUUUUCAAACCAUGUAACCUGUUGUCAGCAAAUGCUUGCACCAGGCAGCUAUCAUAUCAAGGAGAGACGAAGCCCCGGUCCCAUCUGACUUUCAUCUGGCCUCUACAGUCCAGAAGGUCCCCAGAGCCCACUUCUGAGCCAUCAACCUUGCCCUCUUUGAUCUGCCUGGGAGAGAACGGAGUUGGAGUCAGGGUGAGCACACCAUGUUUUCUGGGCCCUGACUGAGGUCAUCGAUCUUUUCCUCUGCCCCUGGUAUUGCUUCUUUUCUACCUCUGGCUGAGAAAGUUCUGUGAGGGUAAGCAUUAGGUCUUACCGAUCUUUGCAUUCCAUCACCUUGAACCAUGCCUAUUAUAUUAGAUUUUCACUACAAAUAUGUUGGUUGGAUGGAUGAGUGGAGACAAGGAUAGCUUGACAGAUGGGUGGAUAAAUGGAUGAGUUCUAGGUUCUCAAGGGAGGAGGCUGGUUUCCAUUUUUCUUGGAAAAAUGAGAAAAUUUUUCACCCAUACUGUUGAAGGAGCAGCAGCCCUCACCCUCUGGAUUCUAAUUCUCCAAACAUCAUUCAGUUCUGCCCUCCCCAAGAGUACGCUAGGGUUUUAAGGGGAGAGGGAGAUGUGAUUUGGGUCACUCAUGGUCUCUUGCCCUUUCUGAACUUUAAUUGUCCCAUUCACAAAAUCGAGGGCUCAGUAUAGAUACCUCUUCAAAUACCAAAGGUCCAAUUUUAGUGUAAUGUUUAAAAAUGCUGAAUGAGGGUGGCACCUGGGUGUCUCAGUCAGUUGAGCAUCUACCUUUGGUUCAGGUCAUGAUCCCAGGGGUCCUGGGAUUGAGCCCCAUUUUAGGCUCCCUGCUCAUCAGGGAGACUGCUUCUCCCUCUAUCUGCUCCUCACCCUACUAGUGCUGUCAAAUAAAAUCUUUUUUAGGAAAAAAUAUUUCGUGGGUACUGGAAUUUUUUUAGAGUGUAUUUUACAGUUAUCCUAAGAAAAAUAAAAUGGUGCAUAACCAUGUAAAUUGUUAAAAGGUUUAACCAUGUUUGCAAUACUUUACCUUAUAAAUAAUGUUCAUUUUCAAGCAUGGUGUUCUUGAAAAAACAAAAAACAAAAACAAAAACAAAAAGUAUACUCCAUCAUCAUAAAAUAAUUUGGUGGCCAGGUUAUAGUAUUUAGCAGUCUUGCUAAGGAUCUGUCCAGCUGCACUAUCCAGAGCUGAUCUCUAUACCUUCUCAGACACCCUAAGAUUAGGAGCGUCACUGCCUGUGCUGCAAUUGAGCAGCUUAUGGGGAAAAGGGGACAGGCAGGGACUCAGAGAGGCCAGGAGGGGUGGCCUGGUCAGCUGUGGCCUGGGAUGACCUGGACGUCUGUACCUAAUCUGACAGGGACUUAAAGCAUGAGAGCUGCCUUCUCACAACCAUGCCCCCCCGUUUUGAAAAAAAAAAUCUUCCUGCUUUGAGCAAGGGCAGAGUUGAAAGAACUCGGUAAGUCUGUUCACUUCGGGGCUUCAGUUACGAGCAUCCAGAUGCCCUGCUGCCAGAGAAAUAGGAUCAGCUGCAGCAGGGGAAAGCUCAGCAUUUAUUCACCAGGACCGCCCAGGGCCACCGACUUCCUGGGCGCUGCCCUCCGGGGAAGCUAGUCUAGCGAGGCAGAUAGGCAGGUGCGGCGAAGUGUGGCCAAUGCCAGGAUCGAUCGGGCCUGCAUUUCUGCAGGGAAAGGUUAGUGGGGACUUGGAAAAUGCUGUCAAGGGGGUGAGGAGGAGACAGAGGUGACCCUGGGGGUCCUGUGGAAGGAGGCGGUCCCUUGGCUGUGAGUGGGCCCCUCACCUUGGACUAGAAGAGCGCCUCACAAGCGUGCAAGUGCCCAAGUGCCAAGGGAUCAGCAGAGGGACCCAUGAAAUGCAGAUUCACCUGCAGCGGGAUGGAGAUUUGGGGUUUCUCACCAACUGGGUGAGAAGCAGAGGAGGAAGCACGCAGGACAACCUGCCUGGAGAGGCUUGGCGAGUUGUUAUAAGGCACAGUGGUGGUGACAACAGGCAGCAGGCAAGGCUCUUGGGGCUGGUGCCCAGGGUUGUGUUGCCACCAGCGCUCACACAAACAAGGGGCUGUGUGGUCUCCCCACCCUCGACUGUGAGCAUCCGUGAUCGAGACCAAUUCUUGGCCAGCUCUAACUCCUUGACCAUGCCCGGGAAUUCUGGGUACUGCUUUCCAGAGGUUACCCCCUCUUCUCAGAAAUGGUCGUAGCCACCUCUGCUGGGACAAGACUGGAGGUGAGCGUUCUGAUAGACCGGUUCCUGUUCCUCUCAUCGAGGCCUGCAAGCCCAACUCCUAUCUCAGCACCGGCGGGCAAUCCCCGGGCGGGUCCUGGGCACACCCAGAAUUUUCUGGCCAGAGCCCCCCAUCUGGCCCUCUAGCCCUCGGCUUCAAUGCAUAAAUGUGGAGAGGAGUGUGAUGUUUUACUGAAGUCCACGCAAUCAAUACAGAGCUGUUAGCCACACUGCGGCCUCAGAUCAGCAUUCCUCCUCCUACCUGCUGGAAGCUUCUCCUCCAGAAGCCUGAGUGGACAUCUCCGCCAGCUGGACAACCCCUCUGUGCAUGCGGUCCAGCUGUCUUCCUAGACUAACAAAGACUGUGCUUUUUAUCCAAUUGUAAUUCCUUUUUUAAAAUGUUAAAUUAUCCCUUUUGUGUGUGUGUGUGUGUGUGUGUGCGCAAUCGUGAUUUAGAAGGACUUUGACCAAAUAAGGAGCUGGAAACCAUGUCAGUCUCCAGCUUUAGGAGACAAUUCUCUUAAGGGGUGCAGGAAAUCCCAGAGCCUAGGGAGCACCCUAGCCCAGCCCUGCCUCCCCAGGGGCACUGGCCUGCAUCUCCUACCGUACCCCUUCUGCAAACACCCCUUUGUGAACUAGAGAUUGAAGUCCUCCUUACAACAUCUAACUUUAAAUUUAAGAUGGUGUAGGUUUCCAGAGUCCAGAUGUUCACAGACACUUGAAGUUCUUUCCAUCUCAUCUUUUUGCCAACAAAUUUUGCACUGACGGCUGUCUUAAGACUUUGGUGGACACCUGCGGUCCUCGCCUCAGGGAACAUUGUCCUGUCCACAUGUCCAGAGGAAAUCCCAACUCCUAACUGCCACUCCUCGGAGUUUGGGGAGGCAUGGAGCACAGUCCCCCCUCACCAUCCUGCAAGAUCACACCUUCAGGGGUCUUGAUCAGACUUUGAGGGGUUGGGGGCAGCACGGGAAGUGCUUUGAAAUGAGAAGAGCUCCUGUUUAGGGAGGACACAGGACAUCACCCAGAAUCCAGGCAGGGCAUGAGGGUGAUGGACAGUGGCCCCAGGCCUCUUCUUGGGGAGGACUGACUGACCAAUGGGUGGCGGGGGGGGGUGGUGUGGAGGCAAUUAAAACACAACAAUCAAACCAACCUUUAAAUAGCAACUUUUAAAAAUAUAAAAACAGCUCAUUACAAUGACUUUUCAUUUUCUUUUUUUCUUCAGGAAUCAACUUUCUUCUACCCUCACCCUCCCUUGUGGCUAGAGCCUUAACAAGACACGGCAGAUGAACAUCUGAGACCCAGAGAAAGACAGAGAAAUACUCUAGAGGGCCCCUCCCCAACCUCGGAAAGGUACACGGUGCCCGGGCCAGUCUCGGUGGCCUCUGGGUCACGAUGGGGGAGCUGCUCGCCUGGAGCAAGAUCACUGAAGACCAGCAGUUUCCACUGGGGCCCCUUCCUUCCUUCUCUCCAGAAAGAAUCACACAUUAUAAAAUAAUCCAUAAAAAUGCAGUAUCAAAAUUAUCUUCCAUAUGCUACAUCCACGGAGAGCCCACCACCAGGACUCACACCGGCCUUUAGCUUUUCCUUAAAAGAAGAAGAAGAAGGAAAAAAAAAGACCAAGAAAACGGGGGUGUGGGGGGGUGCGGGGGGGAAACAAACCAAACCCAAAUCCUAAUACCUCGGAACAUUUUGGUACCAAAAGAGACAAAGCACAAGGAGUGGCCACAGUGUCAGGAUCGGCGUCCCCACCCGACCCCCCGGGUCCCCUCGGCCCCACUGUGCUGCCCAGGGCCGGGCCAGGGGAGACCAUCCCUCGGGACUCACAACCCAAGUGGGAUGAUGACACUCGUCCCCUCGGGGGAGAGAGGAGGACGGGGAUCAGAGGCAGGAAGGGGGGAGAAGGCAUUUUAUAAAGGACAGCGAUUCUAAUUCUUUUUAUUCAAAUUAAAAAAAAAAAAAAAAAAAAAA